GUGCCGUGCGGUGAGCAUAGAGCGAACUAUUCUUUCGCCUUUUACUAAAGAAUACCGUGUGCUCGCCGUCCAGACUGGCAUACGCUUAUUUUUGGAGCUUUAAUUCUUUCAUUGGAAU
rnacentral:snRNA from 1 species